rnacentral:rRNA from 1 species
CAGUAGCCGCGGGAAUACGUAGGGUGCGAGCGUUAAUCGGAAUUACUGGGCGUAAAGCGUGCGCAGGCGGUUGUGUAAGACAGGUGUGAAAUCCCCGGGCUUAACCUGGGAACUGCGCUUGUGACUGCACAGCUAGAGUAUGGCAGAGGGGGGUGGAAUUCCACGUGUAGCAGUGAAAUGCGUAGAGAUGUGGAGGAACACCGAUGGCGAAGGCAGCCCCCUGGGCCGAUACUGACGCUCAUGCACGAAAGCGUGGGGAGCAAACAGGAUUAGAUACCCCCGUAGUCCCUGUCUCUUAUAC